GAGUUUGAUCAUGGCUCAGAUUGGACGCUGGCGGCAUGCCUUACACAUGCAAGUCGAACGGCAGCACGGGAGCUUGCUCCUGGUGGCGAGUGGCGAACGGGUGAGUAAUGCAUCGGAACGUAUCCUGGAGUGGGGGAUAACGUAGCGAAAGUUACGCUAAUACCGCAUAUUCUGUGAGCAGGAAAGCGGGGGACCUUCGGGCCUCGCGCUCUUGGAGCGGCCGAUGUCGGAUUAGCUAGUUGGUGAGGUAAAGGCUCACCAAGGCGACGAUCCGUAGCAGGUCUGAGAGGAUGAUCUGCCACACUGGAACUGAGACACGGUCCAGACUCCUACGGGAGGCAGCAGUGGGGAAUUUUGGACAAUGGGGGCAACCCUGAUCCAGCCAUGCCGCGUGAGUGAAGAAGGCCUCGGUU
rnacentral:rRNA from 1 species